rnacentral:rRNA from 1 species
CCUACGGGAGGCAGCAGUGGGGAAUAUUGGGCAAUGGGCGCAAGCCUGACCCAGCAAAGCCGCGUGAAGGAAGAAGGCUUUCGGGUUGUAAACCUCUUUUCGCAGGGACGAAGCAAGUGACGGUACCUGAGGAAUAAGCCAAGGCUAACUACGAGCCAGCAGCCGCGGUAAUACGUAGGCGGCAAGCGUUAACCGGAUUUACUGGGUGUAAAGGGCGUGUAGGCGGGACUGCAAGUCAGAUGUGAAAACCAUGGGCUCAACCUAUGGCCUGCAUUUGAAACUGUAGUUCUAGAGUACUGGAGAGGCAGGCGGAAUUCCUAGUGUAGCGGUGAAAUGCAUAGAUAUUAGGAGGAACACCAGUGGCGAAGGCGGUCUGCUGG